UUUCUCAUACAAUUCUUUCAGGAUCUCAGAAGUUCUGUGCUUAAAAUCAGCAGUUUUCUUGAGAAAGAACUGAGUGAAGAGGAUCUGGAUGCUAUUGUGAAUCAGGCUGCAUUUAAGAAUAUGAAAGUUGAUCCUCAAGCUAAUUAUGAUAGCAUUCUGCAAAAUGAAAUCGGGAUGAGAACAAACAAGGGACAAUUCCUGCGCAAAGGUACUGUUGGAGACUGGAAACAUCACUUGACCGUGGAGCAAAAUGAGCGAUUUGACAGAGUAUUCCAAAGGAAGAUGAAAGAUUUUCCCUUGAAGUUCAUCUGGGAAAUAGAUGAGGAGUAGAAUCAGUGGAAAAUAUAAUACUACUGUAAAAAUCUAACAACUGGAAAGCAUAUUUUAAUAUACACAUUAAUUUGUGCUUCUCAUACAAAUGUUAAUUAUAAAACUUUAUUAAUUGACAAAAUCAGUAAACUCUGCUUAGAUUCAUUUCCAUGCCUUUAAUGAAGCUUUGACAUUUCACCAAUUAUAAUGAUUUGGAUAAUCUGCAGUGUUAGCCUUUAUGAUAAAGUGAAAGAAAGAAAGCAUGCAACAUGAAUAGUUUGAGAGUGUUUUCCAUAGCAGGCAUUCAUUAUUUAUCUAUAAUUUUCAAAUUGAAAUUUGAUAAUUUGGCUUUGAAUCAAUGUGACUAAUGAGUAAAUAAAGAAAUCACAUGCAUCUGAGAAGCAGAUUCAUCUAUUUAAUGAUUUACCAAUUCACAAAGUUUAUACUAAGGAGUUAAGUUUCAAAGGUAGAUUGAUCAUCUAAUAGUCUAAUUAUUUAACUAUUUGGAUGGAAAGAAAUAUUUGUAUCUAUAUGACUCACUAAAGUAAUACUAUGUGUAUCUAAGAGUUGCAUAUUUAGAAUAAAAUUACUUUGAACAAGA